GACGAACGCUGGCGGCGUGCCUAACACAUGCAAGUCGAACGGACAGACGAUGCUUUUGUUCCUUUGUCGAUAGCCGAACACGUGUGUGUCACAUGUGUAUCCUGUCCUUAUAUUUGUGAUAACUUUACGAAACUCCGGCGCUUACCCCGGAUGAGCUCCUGCUCCGUGUUGUUCAUUGGUGAGUGUCGGCUGUGGUGGAUGUUUUCGCGGUUUAUCCGCUUGUUGGUGUGGUAGUGGCUUACCAAGGGUUUGACGGGUAGGCUGCAUGAGAGGGUUACCGGCCACAUUGGGCCUGAGAUACGGCGCAGAAUCGUACGGGAGGCAGCAGUGGGGAAUAUUGCACAAUGGGCGGAAGCGUGAUGUAGAAACGCCGCGUGCGGGAUGCCGGCCUACGGGUUGUAAACAGAUGUCGACUGUGACGAAGAGUGAGUGACGGUAAUGGGUAAAGAAGCACCGGCUAACUACGUG
rnacentral:rRNA from 1 species